UACGAAGGGGGCUAGCGUUGCUCGGAAUGACUGGGCGUAAAGGGCGCGUAGGCGGCUUGCACAGUCAGGCGUGAAAUUCCUGGGCUCAACCUGGGGACUGCGCUUGAGACGUGUGGGCUUGAGUGGGGAAGAGGGUCGUGGAAUUCCCAGUGUAGAGGUGAAAUUCGUAGAUAUUGGGAAGAACACCGGUGGCGAAGGCGGCUCACUGGCUCAUUUCUGACGCUCAGGCGCGACAGCGUGGGGAUCAAACAGG
rnacentral:rRNA from 1 species